rnacentral:tRNA from 1 species
GGAGCUUUAGUUCAAGAGUUAAGACUACCUGCCUAGCAAGCAUGAAACCCUAAGUUCAAACCUCAGAAUCUCCC